UAAAUUGUUUAUUUAUCUGUUUUUUUCUCGUAUACUUUAGGGAAAUAUAUUCAUCGUUAUUGGGUGAACCAUUGCUAGUUAUCAAUAGUAUAUGGUUCAAUAAACAAUGAUACACAU